rnacentral:rRNA from 1 species
GUGGGGAAUUUUGGACAAUGGGCGCAAGCCUGAUCCAGCAAUGCCGCGUGCAGGAAGAAGGCCUUCGGGUUGUAAACUGCUUUUGUACGGAACGAAAAGGCUCUGGUUAAUACCUGGGGCUCAUGACGGUACCGUAAGAAUAAGCACCGGCUAACUACGUGCCAGCAGCCGCGGUAAUACGUAGGGUGCGAGCGUUAAUCGGAAUUACUGGGCGUAAAGCGUGCGCAGGCGGUGCUGUAAGACAGGCGUGAAAUCCCCGGGCUCAACCUGGGAAUUGCGCUUGUGACUGCAGGGCUGGAGUGCGGCAGAGGGGGAUGGAAUUCCGCGUGUAGCAGUGAAAUGCGUAGAUAUGCGGAGGAACACCGAUGGCGAAGGCAAUCCCCUGGGCCUGCACUGACGCUCAGGCACGAAAGCGUGGGGAGCAAACAGGAUUAGAAACCCUAGUAGUCC